rnacentral:lncRNA from 1 species
CUCUUCGGUAUGAACGUUUUCUUGCAUCAUCAUCAUCUCUCAUUUGAAAAUUUCACUAACAAGAUUUGAUUCUCUCGUGUAGAAUCAAGAGCGAUUACUCAGUACAUAGCUCACCGAUAUGAAGAGGAAGGAACCAACCUUCUCCCAGCCGACUCCAAGAACAUAUCCCACUACGCAAUCAUGGCCAUUGGAAUGGAAGUAGAAGCUCACCACUUCGACCCAGUGGCUUCAAAGCUUGCUUGGGAACAAGUGUUCAAGCUCUUCUAUGGCAUGACCACAGACCAAGCCGUUGUUGAAGAAGAAGAGGCCAAGUUAGCCACGGUUCUUGAUGUGUACGAGGCUAGGCUCAAGGAGUUCAAGUAUUUGGCUGGUGAAACUUUUACUUUGACCGAUCUUCACCACAUUCCAGUGAUUCAGUACUUGCUUGGAACUCCCACCAAAAAGCUCUUCGAUGAGCGUCCACAUGUCAGCGAGUGGGUGGCAGAGAUCACCAACAGGCCAGCUUCCCAGAAGAUCCUUCAGUGAGACAAAAGGAAAAGAAAAUGAUUCUGCUUCAGUCACAGUAAUAAUAUGCUCAAACUAAAUAAGUGGCUGCCUCAUUGCCCAAUUUCUCAGUGCUCUGUUUUGUCUUUCUGUAUGUCCUCUGUUUUUUAUUUUCAGUUUAAUAUUGUAUGUGUUUGUGUUCUUGAGAGAUCAUUGUUGAAUCAAAAGUUAUUUUCCUAAUCUUCAAACUCUUCUAUAAUAAAACAGGUUAGUUAGUUAUUUAAUACUACAGAAGAUUGCAAUGUCUUAACUAAGGAGUUACUUAUUAGUGAGAGAAUAGUAUGCAAAGACUUUUAGUGCUUACUUUGUAGGCAUAAGACUUUGGACAUUCUCAUCCUUAUAAAGUCUCCUUGCUUUGUCGGAUCUGAAAAUGACAGACAAGUAAGAGAUGGUCUUAGCUAAAAGUCUGACAAAGCAAACGAGGAGGAGGAGGGGAUGAUGAGUAUUUGCAUGAAGAGCCUCAAGAUCUCCCUCCUCGAAAUCCUUUAAAGCAGCCUCUUAAACGACCUAGAAACUCAGAUCCUUUCCAAGAAGCCAUGUUAGCGGUUGCUUCAAGCAUUCGUCGCCUAGCUGAUGCAGUGGAAGGAAGCAAAAGUUUGAUCAACACAGAGGAACUGCUUGAAGCAGUGAUGGAGAUUGAUGGAUUGGAAGAAGCCAAGCAGAUGUAUGCGUUUGAGUAUCUGAAUGGUGAUCCGGUGAAAGCUAGAGCGUUCAUGGCUUAUGAUAGUAGGAUGAGGAAGUUGUUUUUGUUUCGACAGUUUUGGUGGUGGAAGUAAUAACACAAAAUGUGGAUUUGAAUUUUGUUUUAAGGUAAUUUAAAGUCUAGAGUUUUUGUAUUCGGUGAUUGUUGUCUAUGGUAAAAUGAUUUAUCCCAAGUGGUCACAUUGCAAAACCAAUGUUUCGGUCCCAACAAUUUUGUAGUCGGUAGAUGUUAGUCAUAGUAGAUAAAUUACUAUGAUUUGGUCUGGGCAAAAACCAAACACAAUUAAAAGAAGAAAUCGAAUCAAAAUUUUAUAAAUAGUUGAUUUGUUUUUUAUUGUCCGAAAUAUUCUAACUGAAUCAAAAUCAAUAGAUAGUUGAAUAUAUAAAAUAUAAUUUUCUAUUUAAAAUAUUAAUUAUAAUAAUUUAUAUGAUAUAACAUUUUAAAUAUAAUUACUAUUGAGAAUAUUUAUAAAUAUAUACAAAAAGAAUUUACUGAUGUUUAAUUUAUCUGAAUAUUUUUAUUUAAAAUAUUUAAAUUGGUUUUGGUUUAGCUCAAUUUACAACCGCAGUUUCGCUUGAUUUAGCUCAAUUUUAGUAUGGUUGGUCCGCUUGGUUUCUCUAAAAGAAAUCAACUUAAUCAAUUGAUUGGAGGAAAAUAACACAACGCAACGCAACGUGAGACGUUAUCACCCAUCAUCAUCAUCCAUCGAUCAUCACCAUCUAAAAACCAUGCAAAGCAGGAAUUUUUUUGAAGACUGACAAGGAAACAUGGUGAAGUCACUCUCCUUUGUUCAUCAACCCUAAACUCACUAUUCUCCUCCACUCUCUCUUCAUCCACUUCUUCCAAGAAUAACAAAAUUGCGUACUCAGCAAACAUCAAGAACCAGAUAAUAUCGUCUCUGUCAUGGAACAGACGAGAACUGUCUCUUGGGUUUAUGAUCAGCUUUCUUGCGUUUGGUCUCGUGGAGAGCUUCUGGAGAAAGUGAAGCAAGAUCGGAAAAAGAGGAUUGAGCGACGAGCUGUUCUUAACUCUGCUGUCAAUGAAAAGGGUAUUUCUGAAAACAAUCAGUCUUUCAUCUUUGUGUUGCUGGGUUUUUUUCUAUGUGUUCGAGAAUUUGCAAAGUUUGGGAUGUGUACUUGUGUUUAGAAGAAAGUUACUCAGACUUUGAAGUUACAUGUAGCAGUAACCUGAAGAAUCAACAGUCUUUAUAGUUGAUGAAAAGUUUACUCUUAUAGGACAAAUGUGUUUCCUCAUUGUGUUAUGGUCUUCAUAGUUAGUUAAUUGGCUUUGUUCCAAUGCCAUUUACAUUAAAAAGUUACUCUGGUUUUGUAUCCUUCCAAUGCUACAUGACGUAAUCAGAAGAUAUUUAUGGACAAGUUUUACUCUUUUAGGGAUAUAUGGGUCUUCUCUUUCUGGUAUAUGGUCUACAUAUUGUUAUCUGUCUUGUUCUAGUGUUACUUACAUUGAACACUAAUCUGAUGAUGAUUGAUUAAGUAAUCAGAACAAAUAGAUGGAAAGGUUUUUGACCUUUUUGUUAUUUCUGUCAUUGUCUUGUUUGUAGGGUAUUUGCAGGAUCUUGUUUACAAGUUAAGCAAAGUAGGACAAGCCAUUGAGAACAAUGAUCUGGAAGCUGCAUGUUUGGUCUUAGGGAAAGGCAUUGAUACCGGAUGGGUCAAAACCGUUAAUUUGGCUUUCACAAAGCUCUUUUUCUUUCUCCUUUUUUUUUUUUAACUCACAAUGGUCAAAUGGAUUGAUUAUAUUUAUAUUCAACUGGUUCUCUCUCUGCAUAAGGUAGAUUUUCUUUUUACGGUUUAGUCAAGCUCGUUCUUUGUGUUGUAACGACAGCUGAGUGCAAGCCCGGAAGAAAAUACAGAGGUGGAAAGUGGAAACAUUUAAUUCAUCUUUAGCUUCUCUUAUUACAUCAGGUUCGUUGUUCUUCUUAACUUCUCUGUUCACAAGAAUCAAAUUUAUCCAUUUAAAAGUCAUAAGAAAUAUCUUAUUGAAACUUGGUUACGCAGUGAACAAGAACGAUAGAGAGUCAUCUAAGCUCGCGUUUGUGUCAUCGGCUAGUGCAUUUGAGAAAUGGACGAGCUUGACAGGUCUUUUGGGACACCUUAAAGGAAUAUGAUAGGCUACCUUACAAAAUUGUCUUUAUUUUUCUACGGAUGGUCAACAAAAGAAGAGUCGAAACAAACAAAAAAAUAAUCCUUUGAAAAUGCCAUCUUAACAGCUUUGCUUAUCAUUAUUUAUUACAUUUGUUCAUACUCACCUUGCAUUGGCUAAUUUUUAAAAAAGUUUCAGUCACGAGUUUGAAUGGUAAUAACUCAACAUUAAAAGGAACCUUUCAACCAGAAUUCCACAUAAAUAAACUUUAAAUUAAAAAAAAACCUUUGAACCGGGAAGAAGUCAUGCCCGAUAUGCUAACCAAGAGUGUGUCAAUCAAGUAAAGUUGUAAACCAAAACCCGGGUAAAACAUGUACAACCAAAUUUCACAUCAAUAGAAACCCAUUUAACCGAGAAAUCAUGCCGGUUAAAAGCAUCCCGAAACAAUACUGAACCGGUAAUAGCCAAGGUGUAUGUCACGUUACUAGGUGGAGCUUGACUAUUAGGUGGAAGUUUGAGACAUUUGGGCGUUAGUACACACUUGUUUGAUCUUUUCUUUGAUGACAUUCAUUGAAUGCUUUAUUAUUUAAAAACGAUAUCUCAUAACCAAAUUGUAAAAAACAAAUAAUCAAGCGUUAAACAAUCUCAUUCCAGUUUGACUAAUCCUCCAAAGAAGACUAGUCAAUAUUGGUUUGCGACGGUCUUGUAGAUGCAUUAUUGAUCAGCUAAAACAAUAUUAAACAUUAAUGAGAAUCCAUUAAAAUGCUCUGUUUUCUACUUGUAUAAAUAUACCAUCAUUACUUGUCUCUUGUUUCAUCACCUUCACAUUCAACAUUAAACACAUCACAUUUCAAAGAGUUUCUUUUGUAAUCAAAAUCAAUGGCAGGUAUCAAAGUUUUCGGACACGCUGCUUCCACUGCCACCAGGAGAGUCCUCCUCACCCUCCACGAGAAGAACCUCGACUUUGAGCUCGUUCAUGUCGAGCUCAAAGACGGCGAGCACAAGAAAGAGCCCUUCCUCUCCCGCAACGUAAGUAUUUAUAUGUAACCAUGAGUUUUGAGACAAGACCAACCACUUUUGACAAAUCUUGGUCUGAAUCUUUAAUGUUUUGUUUUUGAUUGACGUUACAGCCUUUUGGUAAAGUUCCCGCCUUUGAAGAUGGAGACCUCAAGCUCUUCGGUAUGAACGUUUUCUUGAAUCGUCAUCCCUGAUUUGAAAAUUUCACUAACAAGAUUUGAUUCUUUCGUGUAGAAUCAAGAGCGAUUACUCAGUACAUAGCUCACCGAUAUGAAGAGGAAGGAACCAACCUUCUCCCAGCCGACUCCAAGAACAUAUCCCACUACGCAAUCAUGGCCAUUGGAAUGGAAGUAGAAGCUCACCACUUCGACCCAGUGGCUUCAAAGCUUGCUUGGGAACAAGUGUUCAAGCUCUUCUAUGGCAUGACCACUGACCAAGCCGUUGUUGAAGAAGAAGAGGCUAAGUUAGCCACGGUCCUUGAUGUGUAUGAGGCUAGGCUCAAGGAGUUCAAGUAUUUGGCUGGUGAAACUUUUACUUUGACCGAUCUGCACCACAUUCCAGUGAUUCAGUACUUGCUCGGAACUCCCACCAAAAAGCUCUUCGACGAGCGUC